rnacentral:rRNA from 1 species
AGAUUGAACGCUGGCGGCAGGCCUAACACAUGCAAGUCGAGCGGUAGAGAGGUGCUUGCACCUCUUGAGAGCGGCGGACGGGUGAGUAAUGCCUAGGAAUCUGCCUAGUGGUGGGGGAUAACGUUCGGAAACGGACGCUAAUACCGCAUACGUCCUACGGGAGAAAGGCGGGGGACCUUCGGGCCUCGCGCCAUUAGAUGAGCCUAGGUCGGAUUAGCUAGUUGGUGAGGUAAUGGCUCACCGAAGGCGACGAUCCGUAACUGGUCUGAGAGGAUGAUCAGUCACACUGGAACUGGAGACCUAC